CUUUCUACCGGCAACGCAUCAUUCAAAUUUAUGCCCUAUCAACUUUCGAUGGUAGGAUAGUGGCCUACCAUGGUGGUGAUGGGUGACGGAGAAUUCGGUUUUGAUUCCAUAUAGGGAGCCUAAGAAACGGCUACCACAUCCAAGGAAGAUAGCAGGUGCGCAAAUUACCCAAUCCUGACACGGGGAGGUAGUGACAAUAAAUAACAACACCGAGCUCAUUGAGUCUGGUAAUUAGAACGAGUACAAUCUAAAUCCCUUAACGAUGAUCCAUUAGAGGCAAGGUUGGUGCCAGCAACCGCGGUAAUUCCAGCUCCAAUAGCGUAUAUUUAAGUUGUUAUAGUUAAAAAUCUCGUAGUUGGACCUUGGGUUAGGUCGACCAGUCCGCCAUUGGUGUGCACCAGUCGGCUCAUCCCUUCUGUCGGUGAUGCGCUCCUGGCCUUAACUCGCGGGGUCGUGCCUCCGGCACUGUUACUUUGAAGAAAUUAGAGUGUUCAAAGCAAGCCUACGCUCUAGAUACAUUAGCAUGUGAUAACACCACAAGAUUCUGAUCCUAUUGUGUCGACCUUCGGGAUCGGAGUAAUGAUUAACAGGGACAAUCAGGGGCAUUCAUAUUUCAUAGUCAGAGGUGAAGUAUGGUCACAACGCUGAAACUUAAAGGGCACCACUACGAGUGGAGCCUGCGGCUUAAUUUGACUCAAUAUGGGGAAACUUACCAGGUCCAGACAUAGUAAGGAUUGACAAGCUUAGAGCUCCUUCUUGAUUCUAUUGGUGGUGGUGCAUUGCCGUUCUUAGUUGGUGGAGCGUUUUGUCUAGUUAAUUUCGUUAACGAACGAGAUCUCAGCCUGCUAACUAGCUAUGUGGAGGUAACUUUCCACGACCAGCUUCUUAGAGGGACUAUGGCCACAUACGCCACGAAAGUUUAAGGCAAUAACAAGUUUGUGAUGCCCUUAGAUGUCCUGGGCUGCACGUGCGCUACACUAAUGUAUUCAACGAGUCUAGCCUUGGCCGACAGGCCUAGGUAAUCUUUGAAAUUUCAUCGUGAUGGGGAUAAAUCAUUGCAAUUGUUAGUCUUCAACGAGGAAUUCCUAGAAAGCGCGAGUCAUCAGCUCGCGUUGACUAUGUUCCUGCCCUUUGUACACACCGCUCAUCACUCCUACCGAUUGAAUGGUCUGGUGAAGUGUUCGGAUUGCAACGACGUGGGCGGUUCAUUGUCGGCAACGUUGUGAGAAGUCCACUGAACCUUAUCAUUUAGAGGAAGCAAAAUAAAAUUAUCUGGAAAACUUUGAUUGUCGGGCUUUAGAGUAUGAAUCAUCUUAAAACUUGCCCUAGUUUGAGAGGCUUCCAGUUUUCUUUUGCUUUUAGUGCUCUUUACUUCAUGCAUAAUGUAACACCCCGAAAAUAAUUUCUAUUUAAUAUAUUUAAUCUCUUAGAAAAAUGUGUAAAAUUGUCUUUUAUGUAACCUAUAACUUACAAAUAAUUUUCACUUUUACCUUAUUCCAUUUACAAGAUUGUCAAAUUUUCAAACCUUGCGGAAAUAAAAUUCUUAAUACGUUGAAGAUAAUUAAAUGAAUACAAUUCUGUUCUGAAUACUUCUCAUUCAUAAAAUUCUUGAAUAAAUAUAGAAUUGUUUACAUGGCGAAAUCUAAUCUUCGCCACAAAUAAAAAAAACUGAAAAUACAAAGAAAAUAAUGUCGGGGCAUUGGCAUUACAAAAAGUACCUUUGACAGGUUCCUAUCACAACAAAACAAAAGAGAAACCUCCUAAACCGGACGCGCACUGGAAGCCUCGCUAGGGUCUUCCUCCACCUCCGAGUCAGAAGAGAUCUCAAUGACCUCAACUGAAUCUUCUAUGCAGAUAAGCUCUACACACUCGACGUUGUCUUCCUCCUCCUCUUCCUCCACUUCAUCCGCUCCCCAAUCCAUCGAGGGGUCCGGGGUCUACCCCCUUGGCAUAGCCCAGUCUGUCCCUCUUGGCGCCGAUCCUAAUGUUGAGAAUCCUGUUUGGGGCCAGGUCCGAACAACUUCUCGUACGCCUAGAGCAUCAGCCAGUACAGAAAGUCCGACGGUUGUAGGUCUUCGGUCGGGCAAAGUGAAUGAUGCCUCCUAAACUGCGUAGUAAGGUGGAAGAUGCAGAACUAAGCCAUUGUUUACCCAAUCCAUCUCUAGGGUGCAAGGACCUGUGUAAGUGUGUCGAUUACCCUCAACACUCCAUGUCCCCUCUUGGGACAUAGUGAAAUGUUAACCUCAGAUCAGUGCUGAUGGGUCCAUCUGAAUAUGUGUACACAUACACCAGAAGAAAAGAGAGGGAGUAAAACAUCUAUGAAAAACUUGUCAUCGAUGUCGUCGAAUUAUACGGAAUAAUACACCAAGAGAACACACGAGUACAUAUAUAUCAUAUGCUCAUACAAGCAUAUAAUAAUGAGGAAUGAAGUAUAAAACUCGAGAAUUUAGAAUCAAUAUCGACGGAUAUCAUGUGUGCAAUGUGAUAUAUGAGUCCACCAUCCUUACUCCUUUAUCCUCCCAAUAACUAUUCGGAAAUAACCGAGAGUACAAUUCCCAUAACAAGCUGAUUUGAUCGCACCAAAAUUAUUCCUCGCAAGGAUAUAUGAUCGAUCUGUUCCAACGGAACUGUCCAUUUCAGGAUGGUGUUGUAUCAAACACUUUAUGGUCAUCCCUCUCAUUGAUCUUGAUUGCAAAGAGUGGUUGUCAAAGAUCGUCUAGUUUGCGUUGUGAGCACUGUCUGAUCCAACAUAAUACCUCACCCUGGAAACAGCUCAGCCGGAGGUUGAGUCCAACGGCUGGAAGAGACCCACACGUCGCGUGAUGUCUGGUGCACCCUGACGGCCGUUGAAAAUCCGGAGAACCGAGUGCCUCCCACACCCGCUCAUACUCAUAACUGCAUCAGGUCUCCAAGGUGAACAACCUCUUAUCGAUGGUACAAUGUAGGCAAAGGAAGUCGGAAAAAUGGAUCCGUAACCUCGGGAAAAGGAUUGGCUCUAGCAGCUUGGCACGAGGGUCCCAGUCGCCAACUCGUCGGCUGUCGGUGGACUGCUUGAGCUGCUCUCGCGGCGGGAGUGGGUCGUCGCGUGUCGGUCGGAGGACGAAUUGGAACGAUCCCUUCGAAUGUUGACGCCAAGCAUUGCAGUGGUCCCUAUGGAUGUUGACGCAUUGUCAUUUCUGCCUAGUGCUCUGAAUCUCAAAGUGAAGAAAUUCAACCAACAAAGGGUAAACAGUGGGAGUAACUAUGACUAUGACUUUCUUAAGGUAGCCAAAUGCCUCAUGAUCUAAUUAGUGAUGCACAUGAAUGGAUUAACGAGAUUCCCAUUGUGCCUGUCUACUAUCCAGCUACACCACAACCAAGGGAACGGGCUUGGUAGAAUCAGCGGGGAAAGAAGACCCUGUUGAGCUUGACUCUAGUCCGACAUUGUGAAAUGACUUGAGAGGUGUAGGAUAAGUGGGAGCUGGAAAUAGCGGAAGUGAAAUACCACUACUUUUAACGUUCAUAACGACGUUGCUUUUUUAUCCUUCGAUGUCGCCUCUUCCUAUCAUUGUGAAGCAUAAUUAACCAAGUGUUGGAUUGUUCACCCACAUACAAAGAAUGUGAGUUGGGUUUAGACCGUCAUGAGACAUGUUAGUUUUACCCUACUUAUGACAGUGUCACAAUAGUAAUUCAACCUAGUACGAGAGGAACUGUUGAUUCGCACAAUUGGUCAUCGCGCUUGGUUGAAAAGCCAGUGGAGCAAAGCUACCAUGCAUUGCAUUAUGAGUAAACGCCUCUAAGUCAGAAUUCGGGCUAGAAGCGAUAAGUGUGCCUGUCGCCCAUUUUCCAACUAGCGGUAGGGGGCCUCGGCCCCCUAGAGGCACGUGCCAUUGGUGACCCCCGCGGCCUCGUGGUACGCCUUGAAGCGUUAUUCCCCAUUGGGCGAUGGGUGGAAUCCUUUGCGGACGACUUAAAUACCUGACGAGGUAUUGUAGGUGGCAGAGUGGCCUUGCUUCCACGAUCCACUAAGAUUCAACCCUUGUCGUUUCGAUUCGUCUCUCCCAUCUCAAACCUUAUUUGGAGUUAGGUCGUACACCCUACAAGGCUUACGAACCCGCACCUCGUAUGGGCGACGAGGCGAGUAGGUUCAAAGUCCACGUUCCUCAAGCACACGGUAGAGACGAAGAUACUUACAAUGUGGAGUGCGGCAUCGCCUCUAGCCAUGCCCCAUGGUUCCUUGUGUGUUGUUCAUGGUGUCCGGUGGUUGGGGUGCUUUGUGCCUGGUAUGGUUCCUCAUGUGUGAUCCUGAGUGCAAGGUGAAAGAGAGGCCAUGACACAUGUGUCUAAGUGUUAUUAGGUGAAAUUGAGGCCAUUACACACUUUCCGAGUGCUAGGUGAAAGUGACCCAUUCCGUGGCAUAUGUUCCGAGUUGUAGGUGAAAGUGACCCAUUCUGUGGUACAUCUUCAGAGUGCUAAGUGAAAGUGACCCAUGCCAUGGCACAUGGUCCGAGUGCUUGGUGAAAGUGACCCGUGCCUCGUGUGAGAUUCUUGCUUAUCUCACAUUCCCUAUUUCAGUGAAAGCAUCGCACGAAGCUAGCCCCUUCAUGAAAUGCCUCCAUAUUUGGAGAGGAGCCUAUGAUUAUUUAGCCAUGGUUGCCACUAAAGUUUCACGUAAGAAUUCAACCCCCAGGCGAUGUUGCCCGUCAUGGCACCAUCGCGUGUCCUACACUUCGGUGGAAAAUCAUUUGAGGUAAAUGCCUCGAUGUUACAUGGGCGUAACUUUGGGAAAUGUUUAGGAAUAAUGCUCCUAGCAUUCCUACAAAAGAACAGCUCAAAAAACAUGGUACACACUCGUUAUCUAAUUUUCGAGGAAUUAUGUAAAGCUCGUCACUUGGAAAAAUUAUCAAAAUUUAUUGCCUUGGAGUAAAAUCAUGUAACUUCGUUGACCACUAGCUCCUAUUCUUAUAAGCACAUGUGCAAAAACUCAUGGAAAAAUUCGACCUCUAGCCUAAAAAACCCAGUAUGUCUUCCAAAAAAAAGGUUUUCCAGUGGUGCAGAGUGGGCUUCUGCAUAUUAGCCUACUAUAUGGGGGCAAGCUGCCUUCCUACCCACACACCUUGGUGGGCCAGGAUGGCGAGCUAUAGGGCUCCCUCGAACGCCCCAACAAGCUAUCCCAGGCAUGCUGGUGCAUUUUUCCAUGGGGAUGUGGGCAAUUCGACCGAGUCAUCUUCUAUGCCGAAUCCCGGUCGCACGCGGCCAGCUGCAGGCUGGUGCUUUGGCUUGGUGUUGUCCGACACCUAGAACUUAUUGAGGAUGCAUCAAGGGCUUAGACUGUUCCUCGCGGAUCAACUUGGAUUUCUUGAUGCGAAAGUGUCUUUUGUCGAGGUGCCGGCAUCAUCACACAAUGCCGAGUUGGGUAGCUGCGGGCAUUGCUCGGACGUGCCGAGGCUUCUAGUGUUGCACGUUCUUUACAACAGGAUGUGGUGUUAGGUGAUGCCUUUAGUGGCACAGCCGGAGCACGAAGGGGCACAAGUCCAGUCAUCCGAAAUUGUGUUGUGGGCAGGUUGGCAUGGUUUUAGUCCAGGUGCAGUCGUUUAUGUCUCAUGCAACAAAGUGUCUUGUGUAGGCCUGUCCCUCAGAGAAGUGUGUAGUGUUGAGGUGCUGGUUUGGUCACAUGGUGCUGGUUCGAUAGUUGCGGGCUUCCGUCCGACUUGCCGAGGCUUCUAGUGUGUCAAGUUGUGCACGAAAGGAUGUGGUGUUGGGUGAAGCCCUUAGGGGCAGAUCACCCCAAAGUGUGUUGUCGGCGGGUUUGCACGGUUGAGGUCAAGGUGCGGUUGUGUAUGAAUCGAGCAAAGAAUGCGGCUUGUGUAGGCUCGUCCCUCGGGAAAGCGUGGUUUGUUGACGUGUUGGUUUGGUCGCACAAUGCCAAGUGGGUUAGUUGCAUCCGCCAUGCAGACAUUUUGACGCCUCUAGUGUGACUCGUUCUACACAGAAGGAUGUUGUGUUGGGUGAAGCCUUAAGGGGCACAACUGCAGCACGAAGGAGCACAAGUCUAAUCGUCCGGAAGUGCGUUGUGGUCGAGUUUGCAUGUUUUGAAGUCUCUAUGGGGUCGUGUCUGACCCAAGCUAAACUAUGCGGUGUCUAGGCUCGUGCCUCGUUAAACUGUGGUCUGGUGAUGAUCUAGAUCGGUGACACGGUGGCGAUGUAUGUACAUGUGGGCAUUUUCUGGAUGUGCCCAGGCUUCUCGUGUGACCUGUUGUGCACCGAAUUAUUAGGUGAUGCCUUCACAGAAGUACAUGAGAGGCCCACCACUGAGAAGCAGCAGGGGGCUUUUGCCCCAUAAUGUCUCGCUCGGUUUGUGAUCUGCUCUAGUUGGGAGAUUUAUGCAGGAUGCCUUGAAGCACCAUUCUCUACUUGGUGCUCUAAGAGUCUUUUGAGUGACUUAAAUAGUAGGGCACUUCGGAAUAGGCUGACUAGACUUGCUGUUAUGAUGCACUUUGAUUUUUCUCCUGUCGCCUUGUUUUGUGCCACCAGCCUCCAACUUUUUAAGUUCUAGUUCGUACACCCAAUGAGGCUUGUGGAGUAGCAACUCGUGUGUGUGGUUAGUCGAAUUGGUGCAACGAAAAUCCACGAGGGCGCAUAGUCCCUUAUUCGAGUGAUAGGUGAAAUAGACCCAUGCCAUACACACUUUCCAAGUGGUAGGUGAAGGUGAUGGCACAUGUUCCAAGUGGUUGAUGAAAGUGACUCGUGCCUCGCAUGAGAUUAUUGCUUCUGUCGCAUUCCCUAUUUCGGUGAAUGCAUCAUAAGACGCCGACCCCUUCAUGAAAUGCCUCCAUAUUUGGAGGGGAACCCAAUUUUUUUUUUCCAUGGUUGCCUGCAAAGUCUCAAGUCCGAAUUCAACUCCUAUGCGAAGUUGCUCGUCAUAGCACCAUGGCGUGUGCCACACUUUGGUGGAAAAUCAUUUGAGGUAAAGGCCUCGAUGUUACAUGGGCGUAACUUUGGGAAAUGUUUAGGAAAAAUAUUCCAAGCCUUCCUGCAAAAGAACAGCUCAAAAAACAUGGUACACACUCAUUUUCUAAUUUUCGGGACUAAUCUAAUGCUCGCCGUUUAAAAAAUUACGAAAAAUUAUCGGAUUGGCGAAAAAUUGUGAAACUUCAGGGAAAAAUUCGACCUCUAGCCUCAAAAAACCCGAGAUGUGAUGUGAAUCUAUUUGAGAGGAUUCAGAAUUUUGUUUUGAUCGUUCUUGAAUGUAAGUCUUUGAGAAGAAUAUGGGAUUUUUGCACCUUGAAACUUGUUAUAUUUUUUAUUGGUUUUUGUUUUGGAUUUUUGUUUGGCCGUGGGAUAUGAUUAUGUGGUUUGGUUUUUGGGUUGUUUUUGGUGAGUGUUUGGACGUGGGUUUUGGGAUGAAGGUUGAGUGAGUUUGUGGAUUGUUAAGGGAAUUGUGUAUGGGUAUUUGUUGUUGGUUGUAUGUGAGGGGAUUAUUUUGGUCGUGUAUGGUUUAUGGUUAAGUUGAUAGAAGAAGAUGGAUUAGAUAGGAAGAUGAAGGCGCCACAAGCUUGAUUGCUUGAUAAGCCUAAUGUAUUUCGCCACAAGGAAGAGAACCUUGAUAAGAAAGGGCCUUGGUUUAACCAAGAAACUAGGAGAAACUCAACUAGCAAUUGAUUAUUUUCCAAAUAAAAUUCAAGUUAAUUUAUUCAAUAUCAAAGCCAAGUACAAAUAUCCAUGGAAUUUUCGGCCAAGCUAUGUGCAUAAAGAGUAGUAAAGUACAUUGAAUAUUCCCCUAACUCUUUUCCCCCAUGUGUUUUCGGUUUGGGGGGGAAUUGCAAGGUGUAUUGAUGGCUUCCCUUAAUCUAAUUCCCAUGUGCUCUUUUUGGUUGAGGUGGAAAUUUGAAUUUGAAAAUGAUUCUCCAUGGAGUAAAUGUCCAAAUUCGGUUGAGGAGUGAAUAAGGAAACAAUCAUUUUGUCUUCAUGGCUUUCCUUUAUGGUGUGUCUCGUGUAAAGGAGAAUAUCUCCUUGAUGAUUAUUCCCACUCCUAGUAAUUUGAAUAAGGAAGGUAUUGAUGGAUUCUAAUUUGAGUUCAAUGCUUUGGAGUGAAUAAGGAAACAAUCAAUUUGCCUUCUUUGGUUUCCUUGAUUUACCUCGUGUGAAUAGAGGGAUUCUCUAUGAUGAUCACACCCAACACAUGCUUGAUUUGAAUAAGGAAGGUCUUGAUGAGCUCUCAUUCUGAUUUGAAUCUUUAAGGAAAGUUUUGCCUUGCUCCUUGAUUCUCAUUCACACGCCUCCUUGAUUAGGAAAUAGAUGGAAUUUGUUUGAUUGCUCUUGAUUGUUUCCAUAUAGGGAUCUUCCACACUUGCUCUUCAAAUUAGGAUAGGAUUCUUUGAGAUCUUAUGGCCUUUAAGGGUGAUCUCACGGCUUGGCUCACUAAGGAAAGUGUUCCCUUGCUUGUACCUGGAUUACAUGGUUCUUAAUGAAAUUUAUUACAACUAUAAGUUCAAGUAUAAUGCAAAUAGUAAUUGUUCUUCCAAAUAAGGUAGGAAAAUAAUUCCUAGACUAUAUGUGGGUAUGAUAAUCCCCACUUAUUAAAUGGGACUCCCACAUGCCUCAAGUGUUCCCUCCUUGGCCGUGGCCAACUUGGGUUACUUCUACAAAAAUGGUGCAAUGUAUGGGCCUGAUUUCCUUGUUGGGCUUUGUUGACUUGAUCAUUUGUUCCACUAAUAGGUUGAGAGUUUGGUGUGCCUUCUUGGUUUUGGACCGGGUCAUGGGCCCUCCUAGCCCACUUAGCUCUUCCUCAUUGAUGGGCCUUGGUGGAUUCAUAUCAGGAUGUCUUCCCAGAGAAAAGGAUAUCCCACUCGAAAUUCUUGAUGCGUGCGUCUCACUUGUCAAAGUUCUGGUUUGGUGACUCAGUGACGGGUUGGGUAGUUGCUGGUGGCGGGCAUGCUGAGGCUUCUAAUGUGACCCUUUUUGCACGGAAGGAUGUGUUGUUAGGUGAAGCCUUCAGGGGCAUAGACGUAGCACGAAGGGGCGCAAUUCCAAUCAUCCGGAAGUGUGUUGCGGGCUGGUUUGCACGGUUGAAGUCAAGGUGCAGUCGUCUAUGAUGCUAGCAACAAUGUGCCUGAGGUAGGCUUGUCUCUCAGAAUGUGUUGGUUGUUGAGGUGUUGGAUUGGGCCCACGAUGCGGAGUUGGUAGUUACGGCAUCCCAUAGACGUUUUGAGGCUUCUAGUGCGACCAUUCCUGCACGGAAGGAUGUGGUGCUGGAUGAAGCUCUUAGGGGCACAACUGCAGCACCAAGGGGCGCAUGCCCAAUCAUCUGAAAGUAGUGUGUUUGCGGCUGGUUUUCAUGGUUGAAGUCAAGGUGCGGUGCUGUAAGACGCAUGCAACAAUGUUGCGCGUAGUAGGCUUGUCCCACGGAAAUAUGUGCGCACCUCAAGAAAUAUGUUUACACCUAGGCGUAUAUGUUAGGUGAUGCCAUAAGGGCUGAGCCGCACCAUGUAGAAGGGUGAGCAUGUUCGUCGAAAGUGCAUUGUGGGUGAAUUUGGCAAUCGGAUAAAUUUUGAACCCUGAUCUCUAUCGAUUUUGGUGGUUACCUUUUGUGUUUGCACCUAACGUAGCGGAUCCGACGGCACUAGGUGUUUCCAUUUGCUUGCUUGCCAUUGGCAUUGUGAGGAAUGGUUCGUAUGGUACUAUCGAGUCUGUCUAACGGGAGGGCGGGUGAGUGGCAAUUGGUAUGUUUGUGUUGUCUGCUCCAUGAUAAUAGUCAUCUAACUUUCAGCACACAACCCUUCCCAUGUCCGCCUUGUGUCAUUUCAGCCACAUCGUUCAAUUAUGGUUCUUGUGUUGCCUACCUGUUAAGUGGUAUUCAUGCACCUCUUAUGACCCGUUCCAUCCAGACCCCUUCUAGAGGUCAUUGGAGGAUUUGAAAGUGAUGUGUGUGAUGUUUUAGUUGUGAAUUAUGAUGGCUUGCGUUCUCACACGUGUCUAGUGUUCCCAUGGAUUCGGUGUAUGCGGCGAACGCAGGCUGAUGAGUCUGCCCCUUUGGGUCCCUUUGAUAUAUCGGUUCCCUUGAAUAACACUUUGUCAUGGUGUCGGUCUUGCUUAACAGUUCGCGGUGGCAUAACUUGCACGUCGAGCAAAGUCGUUGAUGGAUACUACAUGGUUGAUCCUGCUAGUAGUCAUAUGCUUGUCUCGAAGAUUAAGCCAUGCAUGUGUAAGUAUGAACUAAUUCAGACUCUGAAACUGCGAAUGGCUCAUUCAAUCAGUUAUAAUUUGUUAGAUGGUAUCUACUACUCGGAUAACCAUAAUAAUUCUAGAGCUAAUACGUGCAACAAACCCCAACUUCUGGAAGGGAUGCAUUUAUUAGAUAAAAGGUCGACACAGGCUCUGCUUGUUGCUUUAAUGAUUCAUGAUAACUCGUCGGAUUGAACGACCUUUAUGCCGAUGAAGCAUCAUUCAAAUUUUUGCCUUAUCAAAUUUCGAUGGUAGGAUAGUGGCCUACCAUGGUGGUGACGGGUGACGGAGAAUUAGGGUCCGGUUCCAUAUAGGGAGCCUAAGAAACGGUUACCACAUCCAAGGAAGGCAGCAAGCACGCAAAUUACCCAAUCCUCACACGGGGAGGUAGUGACAAUAAAUAACAAUAUCGGGCUCAUUGAGUCCGGUAAUUGAAAUGAUUACAAUCUAAAUACCUUAACGAGGAUCCAUUGGAGGGCUAGUCUGGUGCUAGCAGCCGCGGUAAUUCCAGCUCCAAUAGCGUAUAUUUAAGUUGUU
rnacentral:lncRNA from 1 species